UGGGGAAUAUUGCACAAUGGGCGCAAGCCUGAUGCAGCCAUGCCGCGUGUAUGAAGAAGGCCUUCGGGUUGUAAAGUACUUUCAGCGGGGAGGAAGGGAGUAAAGUUAAUACCUUUGCUCAUUGACGUUACCCGCAGAAGAAGCACCGGCUAACUCCGUGCCAGCAGCCGCGGUAAUACGGAGGGUGCAAGCGUUAAUCGGAAUUACUGGGCGUAAAGCGCACGCAGGCGGUCUGUCAAGUCGGAUGUGAAAUCCCCGGGCUCAACCUGGGAACUGCAUCUGAUACUGGCAAGCUUGAGUCUCGUAGAGGGGGGUAGAAUUCCAGGUGUAGCGGUGAACUGCGUAGAGAUCUGGAGGAAUACCGGUGGCGAAGGCGGCCCCCUGGACGAAGACUGACGCUCAGGUGCGAAAGCGUGGGGAGCAAACAGG
rnacentral:rRNA from 1 species